AUUCCGUGAUGAGAGCAUUUUUGUAAUAGUUCUUUAAAUUUUUCCCACUCCUAAUACAAGGACUCGUCAUCCAUCUGUUGGAAGGUAGUGAUCUCAUUAUGCAACU
rfam:Gossypium hirsutum cultivar TM-1 chromosome 20, whole genome shotgun sequence